rnacentral:rRNA from 1 species
CGUGAAUGAUGAAGCCCUUCGGGGUGUAAAGUUCUUUUAUAUGGGAGGAAGUUAUUGACAGUACCAUAUGAAUAAGGGGAUCCUAAUUCUGUGC